GAGAUAGUUUCCAUGGCCCCCUUUUGUUAAGUCAUGAAUAAAAUCCCAGGUCAGCAACCAACAUCUUGGCCCAAAGAAGGUCACUUUUUGAGCAACUAGGUUAAUAUAUUUGACUUUGAGUCUUAUACUGAUCUAACUCGUCUCCUAGAUAGAGUUAGAGGAUGCGAGUGAUUAGAUACAAUUUCUGCUGACUACCUUUCCAGUGCUAGGAGUAAAGACUGACAGUCAAACUGCCCAAGUUCAAGUCCUGGCUUAACUUCCUCAUUAGUGCUCUUUGACCUCUCUAAAGUGUAGAAUCCUAGUCUCAGAUGGAGGAAGCCAUAGCCCCUACUGUAGAGAGCUGUGGAGCAAUACAUGAGCAGCAAUGUUGGUUAUAGUCAUCAUUAGCAUUCUCUUGGGAUGAGCCUUCUGGAGUCCUGAAUGGGAAGGUACCCUCUCAGAUACACACCUGAAAUGCUGCUGGAGUUCUCGGCACCAAGGUGGAUUUGUCACCUGGAUAUUCCAGUAGAAGAAAUGAUAAUUAUCAGCUGGUCCUCCUUCUUGCUGCCUCAAAUCUGGCCCACCUCGCAGCCUGUCAAAACACACCUUGCACAACUGUCUUCUUUCAAAUGCACAGGAGACAAUUCAUUCUGUGUCAGUUCUGCUGUGCUGUGUCAUCAGUCAAGCAGAUGUGGCCUUGGGAGUUUCACUUGGGGUCUGAAGAACUGUGGACAAGGUGAUAAACUGUAGCAUGGUGGCCCUGAUGAGGGCUUUACCACAGGGGUGUGUGAACAUGGGGCAGGCCACAUUCCCAGUAAUUUGGCACCAUAUCCUGUUCUUGAUCCCCUCUUAACCUCUGAUAUGAAAAUUCUUGAAUUUAAGACUGAGUCAAGAUAAAUGUGGUGAUAGUGUUGGUGGUAGGUAUAUUAAGCUGCAAUGACAUACAGACUGGAAAUGUCAGAAUCAAUGUUUUGGCCCAGCCUGGGUUAGAGCUUAGCUAAGUACUCAAUACAUGGGUGGAAAAAAUGUUUGUCAUAUUUUAGACAGAGCUUUUUAACAGAUGAAUAGUUUAGUCAAGUUUGUGUGUGUGUGUUUC
rnacentral:lncRNA from 1 species